rnacentral:lncRNA from 1 species
UUUUUUUUUUUUUUUUUUGUGUGUGUGUGGCUGGAGAGACAGCCAUGGGUGCUGGGAACUAAACUCUUAUAUUUUUGGUUCUAAGCCUAGACUUUAAUGGCUGAGCCAUCUCUCCAGCCUCCAACAAUAAAACAUAAUUGAGGUUCUAAUGCUUAGAAAAUGUUGGAGUUAUUCUUAGUAUAUAAUGUAUUGACUGAGAGAAAACUCAGGACACCAUGUAGUAAGACACUAGGCUUUACUUAAGCAGCAUACGAUAUUUGUGAGUAAUGAUGAUCUUGUAUGAAGGUAGGAUGGGUUGUAGCUCAUGCCUUUAAUCCCAGUACUUGAGUGGCAGAGGCAGGCAGGCUGGUCUGUGUAGUUCCAGGAUAGGAGGGAAGGUAGAACAAAUUUUGUUUAUUGCUAUUCUAAACUGUUGAUACUCUCCCUCAUUUCCACUGCUUGCCUUUCGCCAUUGUAUUUACCAUGGAGGAAGCCAUUUUAUUUUUCAGAGUUUGGGCCUUUAAACUAUCUUACAGUUAAACUCUAAUUCUAGCCUUGAGAAAAUGUUCAGUUUUAUAGGGACUGAUUGAAAUUGCUCCAAUUCACAGGGUAAUUUCAUCUAGAUGGUGGCACUUUAGAAUACAAGUUUCCCAAUCUCCAUUUAUCUUUUCUCUUUGAGAACAGUGUUUAAGACUAUUAGGAUCUCUUGAUUAGUAUCUCUGGGCUUCUGAAAAUAAUUGGCACAGUGUUACUGUUUUUUUAAAUUGUCGUAAUGGGUAGGUACAGCAGCGAGCACUGUAAAUGAUUAAAGGUCUGGGAAAGUGUAGGGUCCAGAUUAUUCGGCAUAUUAAAGAGACGGCUGGAAAGGAAACUCAGCCACUGCUCAAAUGAAGUUUGUUAAUAGUUUGGGGAUUUUUUUCAAUAAUUUAGACUCUACUAUUGUACCUGGAGAAAAUUGAGAUUCCUUCUUGAGGUUUUAGCUAGCCUUGGAUUAAAAAAUAAAUACCAUUUCCUAGUAGAAUGAGGUACCAAAAAUUAAGGUUCUACUUCCCUUUCCAUGAAGGAAGCCCUUGGUAGUCACACCUGCCUUCCAGUGACUGACACCCAAUACUCACACCAAGUCUGGCCCCUUUUAAAUAUAAAUACCUACUAAAUGAAAGGUCAGCAGGCAACUACAUUUUUGAGUGUUAACUUGAAGUUGAUACUAAAAUGGAUUGCCUUAUUAUCAGAAACACACUUGGCAUGAACGUCUAUCUUCUUUGAGACAAGUCUGAUACAAAAAGAAGCCAUCUUGUUUUGUACCUAACUAAAUAGCUAUUUGAAAUUGACAUUAAAGUUUAAAGCUUAAUACCAACAUUGAUCGUCUUAACAAGUGAGGUGCUCGAUAGAAGUAGCAAAAUGGCUGGGUAUCCUAGCACUUAGGAGGCAGAGGCUAGCCUGGUCAACUUAGGGCGUUUCAGGCCAACCAGGACUACAUAGGGAGACCUUGUCUCGAGUAGCAGCUUGAUAACAUUCACCAUUCUAAAGACGUCUAGGUUUUUCUUUGCGCUCAGUCUUCUGAUAUUAAAUUUGGAAGUAUUUUAUUAAAGGGUCAGAAUAGUAUGUAUGUAUGUAUGUAUGUAUUUAUGUAUUUAUGUAUGUAUAUAUUCAUUUAUUUAUAUUGUGAUUUUUAAGUCAGUGUUGCCCUUCAACUCACUCUAGCUUUUUAUUCCUGUUCCUUUUGCCUACAUUUCAGAAGUUACUAUAUCACAGGCCUGCACCACCAUGCCUGGCCAAAGUCUGGGUUUCUGUUUUUGUUUUUGUUUUUGUUUUUUUUGGGGGGG